AAAUAUGCAUGAUUGGUAGGUUUGGAGGCGAAAUGGGCAAAGGGAGCCAAGUUUCUGCCCUUUGGCAGAAACCAGGUUCGGCAGCCGAAGGUACUUUCGGCCGCCGAACAUGGCUGGGGAGGCAGGCCUUUCGGCUGCCGAAGUUGCCCCCGAAAAGAGACUUUCGUCUCUGUCUGACACUUUCGGCCGCCGAAGGUGCCGCCGAACCUAGCUGAGUUUCGUCUCUGUCCAGGACU
rnacentral:lncRNA from 1 species